ACAAAAAUACUCAAGAAACUGAUUUGAAGAAUAAAAAUUGAGUGAACUUAUGAAAUUCCUACUAUGUAUUAAUUUGCAUAAGAUCUGAAUUUAUACAAGGAAAAACCUAACCAUUUCCUAUCUAGUAGCCACUAACAACCAUAAAAGGGGCCACUAACAGCCAUUAAAGGGGCCACUAACUUCAGAAAGUUGAGCAACUAAAGUUGACUAAGUCUAGCUUAAAAAUAGGAAGCACUAAACUGAAAUAAGUAAAAAACAGUAAAAAUAAUAAGCUGGGAAAAAUGCCAAUUUUCUAACAGAUACUGGGUAAUUAUUGUUGAUCAGGGUAAUAAUGUUUGAUUAAGAUGUGGGUAAUUACUAUUUGAUCAAGAUAAUGGGUAAUUAUUGUUUGAUCAAGAUAAUGAGUAAUUAUUGUUUGAUCAAGAUAUGGGUAAUUAUUGUUGAUUAAGAUAUGGGUAAUUACUGUUUGAUCAAGAUAAUCGGUAAUUAUUGUUGAUUAAGAUAUAGAUAAUUAUUGUUUGAUCAAAGAUAAUGGGUAAUUAUUGAAUAUUGUUCUCUUCGGAAGAUGAGCUGAUGCCUUCCUUCGGGGAGUUCUUCGAAAGAUGAGUUGAUGCCUUCCUUCGGGGAGUGAUCGCUUCUGCAAUGAUUCCGCAAUUCAAAAAGUCUUUUUUGAUGUGCCUGUAGUAGCAUAUGUGUUUGGUUUUUGAUUUCUUUGCUAUCUCAGAAUUAUAUAAAUCUCACGUUAUCUACUUUUGAAUCUAUGGAAAUCUUUGAUCAUCUCUUUAGAGAAGGAACGUUAGGGGUUUGGGGAGUUCUUGACCUUUUCAGUUUGCAAUUAGUUAUGUAUUUUGCUAAUUUAUUGAUUCGUUAUUGUUGUUUGUUUGAUCAGGUAUGGGUAAUGAAGCUUGCUGUUACUGUUACCUGCAUCUCAAUGCUAAUUCUGCUGUUUUUGUUCUGAGAAUUCGUGUGUUUUGUCAUACUCUGAAACCUAGCAAUUUCCUUUUGUUGGAUCAGAUACGAGUAGAAUUGGAAAUUUGGCUCACCAGGCAUUGCCUACUUGGAUUUGGAUCUUCUAGUCUAGUGGAGCUAUCAGUUUGAAUUUGAUAUCUUGACUUCCAUCUUUAAUGCUAAUUAUGAUCUCCUCGCAUCAACUUCUUUUACCUUGUUAUUUUGUUUGGUCAAGAAUACAUAGAUGGGCAUCUAGGUGCAAGUGGUUCUACAGGAACAAGUGUCUUGCUAUGGUGUUUGUGGUCGGAAAGAUGCGGCAGUUCCCAGGUCUGUGACUAAAGGUUUUGGAGUGUCCAGUCUCUCAAAGCUUUGCUCAAAACUGGUACGAAAUGGAAGUUCUCAACUGGGAUAAUUCUUUUCACAAGUGUGUAUAGUGUGUUCUGCUGCCAGAUAGUUUUAGUUGUUAGUUCAAAUGCUCGUGUUCUUUGAUGAUCCUGGUGUCUUAUGGUGUUAUAGGCACUUGAUAAAGUCAAAAGUCAAUGCUGGAUCUUUGAUAGUGCUGUAAUGUGCUCUUCUACUACUUAUCAUCUCGCUGUUUUCGCUUUGUUAUCACGCCAGCUGGUUUUGUGUUCAUUGGUGAAUGAAUGUGUAGACCACAUGGUGACAGUAACAAGAGUAGUAGUUUUGGGAACUUCUAAGGAUUGUAUCCGGUAUGCAUUCAUGUGCUCCUUGUUUAUUGGUUUUUUUGGUCCUUGCACUCCAAGAUGGAUAUUGUUAGGCUUCAAUCAAAAUGGGGGUUCUUGAUCUUGUCUCUUGCAUCUCUAGUGAUUUCUUAGGUGAUAUGGGGAACUUCUAAGGAUUGUAUCGGUAUGCAUUCCUGUGCACCUUGUUUAUUGGUCUUCUUGGUCCUUGCACUUCAAGAUGGAUAUUGUUAGGCUUCAACCAAAAUGGGGUUCUUAGUCCUUGUCUCUUGCAUCUCUAGUGAUUUCUUAGGUGAUACGGGUUCUGUCAGCUUUGCACUUAACUGGUCCCUUCUUUUAGUGCUUGCAGUUGGGUCUUACCGAGCAGUGAAUUUUUUUUUCAUGGAGGGGCUUUGCUUGGCCAUUUGUGUAGAGGUUUCUUAGUUCAGAUAAUUGUUAGUAUUGAGGUACUCAUUUCAGUUUUUUCCCCAAAUCAGAGUGGUCCCUUUUCUCUUUGUCAAAAAUUGCUGCUGCAUGGAAAUUGCCAAAAGCUAAGAUAGUUUUUCCUACACACUCUGGAUGCAUAUGUUCCUUGAUGAUCCAGUUGAUGAGAUUGCUGGUGGUUGAUGGGUAUAUGGUCUUAUUGAAACCUGAUAAAUACUCGGAACUCAAUCCUAGAUCUUUUGACAGCCCGGUCAAGUAGGUCCCUGUUGAACCCUCUCUUUUGGUGUUCUCUCUGCGUCAUCUUCUCUGGUUCCUUUUUCUUGCUUCACCCCAGCUUGAUUUUGUUUGUUGGAUGGAUGCCAGUUAAGAGGACUAGAUUUGGAAAAUUUUGAAGGUUGAUGCUCAGUGUCCGUUCCUGUGCAUGCUGUUUCCUUGCCAUUUUUGUGCUUGCACUGCAAUCUGAGUAUCAUCAGGCUUCGAUAGAGGGUUUUCCAAUAUUUUUUCUUUGCCAUUUUUUGUGCUUGCAUUGCAAUCUGAAUAUUAUCAGGUCUUCGAGAGAGGGUUUUGUCAGCUUUGCAUGUAACCCUUCCCUUCAUUCCUUUGCUUGCAGCCAUUGGGUCUUACAAAGCAGUGAAUUCUUAUUUUCAUGGAGGUACCUUAUAAACCUCCAUAGGUGUUGAGGUUUCGUUAGUCAGUCUUCUAUGAGUAUAGAUAAAUUUCUCUUCCCUACUGACUCAUUUGUCUUUGUCAUAACUAUUGUUGUAUGGUAGUUUCUCAAUUAGGACAUUAUUUUCACCAAUGUGUGUUGUAUUUUGCUGCCAUGGAGUUCUUAAUUCAGAUGCCUAUGUUCUUAUGGUGCUACAAUUGAUAAGGUCUCUUAUGGUGAUGAGGUCUCUUACUCUCUUAUGGCUAUGGAUGCCUGAUAAGGACUUGACCAAUUCUAGAUCUUUCUAUAGUGGCGGAAAAUACUUCUGAACUUUUGUUCUUUUAGCUACUUAUCAAACUGCUCUCAUUUUUUUCGUUAUAUCACUAGUUUUUUUUGGUUGUCUGGAUGUGUAGACCAUGUGGUGACACUGUUAUGGACGUUCAGAUUUUGAAAUUUCAAAGCUUGGUUAACCAACACGUGAUCCUUUGCUUCCUUUUUUGGUCUUUUUGGUGCUUGCAUUGCAGUCUGGAUGUUUUCGGGGAUUUGACAAAAUGGGGUUUUCAGUCUCAUUUAUGGCAUCUCUAGUGAUUACUUAGGUGUUUGGGGUUCGUCAGGUUUGCUCUGAACUGUUCCCUUCUUUCUGUUCUUGCAGCCAUUGCCCAGGGCAGUGAAUUCUUUUUUUCAUGGAGCGGCCGUGUGUUUUGUUGGUUUGCGUUGAUGUUUCUUUUGCCAAGUCUUUUAUGAGCAUGGAGUUUUCGAUUCAAUUUUCUUCCCUAGUGGCCCUUUGUCCUUAUCAAAACUAGUGUUGUAUGGAAGUUUCUCAACUAGGACAACGUAAUUCACCGGUGUGUGUUGUAUUCUGCUGUCAUGAAGUUUAGUCCAGACGCUUAUGUUCUUCGAUUAUCCAAUUGAUGAGGUCUUCUAUGGCAUAUGGACCCUUGAUAAGUACUCGUCCAAGUCUAGAUCUCAUUUGAUAGUGGCAUAAAAUACUUUUAUACUUUUGUUCUGUAGCUACUUACUUAUCUUCCCUGUAGACCAUGUGGUGACACUGUUAUGGACGUUCAAAUUUGGAAAUUUCAAAGCUUGGUUUACCAACAUGUGAUCCUCUUCCAUCUUUUGGACUUUUUGGUGCUUGCACAACAAUCUGGUUAUUGUCCGGGCUUCGACAUAAGGGGCUUUUCAGUCUCGUCUAUGGCAUCUCUAGUGAUUACAUAGGUGAUUUGGGGUUCGUCAGAUUUGCACUCAACUGUUCGUUCCCUUCUUUCUGUUCAUGCAGCUAUGGUUACAAGGCAAUGAAUUAUUCUUUCCAUGGAGUGGAUGUGUUUGCCUGUUCGUGUUAAGGUUUUUUUCAGUUUAAGUUUUUAUGAGUAUCAUGAUUUUCGAUUAAGUUUUCUUCAGGAGUUUCUUGACUAAGAUAAUAUUUUUCACUUGUGUGUGUUGUUAUUCUGCUGCCGUGAAGUUUUUAAUGCAGACACUAUGUUCUUCGAUGAUCUAAUUGAUAAGGUCUCCUAUGGCUAUGGACAUUUGAUAAGUGCUCAUCCAAUUUUGGAUAUUUUCCUUAGACAGCGCCAUAAAUGCUCCUCUACAUGUGGUCUUCUAGCUACAGAUAUUUCGGUUAUCACAACUUUAGUUUUUUUGUUUGGAUGGAUGUGUAGACUAUAUGGUGACAGUAAUAGAGGUUAAGUUUUGGAGAUUUCAAAGGUUGAUAUCCAGUAUGGUAUCUCUGUACCCUCUUGGUGUUUUUGGUUCCUGCACUGCAAUUUUGAUAUAUUGGUCAGAGCUUCAACAAGUUUAAAAUCUUGUCCAUAUGGCGUCUCUAGUGAUUUCUUAGACGGUAUGGGUUUCAUCAGUUUUGGACUUGAUUGUACCCUUCUUUUUGUGCUUGCAGCCAUUGGGUCUUACAGAGCAAUGAAUUAUUCUUUUCAUGGAGCGGCUCUCUUUGUCAGUUGAGAGGAAUAAACUUGGAAGAUUUUGAAGGUUGGUGGCCUGUGUGCAUUUCUCUGCAUCCUGUUUCUUGGCCAUAUUGGUGCUUGCACUUCAAUCUGGAGAUUAUCAUGCUUUGAAAGAAGGCGGUUCUCAAUUUUGUCUGGCAUUUGUAGUGAAUUCCUUGGUGGUAUGGUCUUUGCCAGAUUUGCACUUGAACUUCUUCCAUUCUUUCUGUGCUUGCAGCUGCUGGGUCUUACAGAGCGAUAGAUUCUUCUUUUCAUGGAGUGGCAUGAUCUGUCAAUUUAGUGUUGAGGUUUAUUGUUUGAUGCUCUAAUGAUUGAGAUCUUCAAUUCAAUCUUCUUCCCUAAACAGAAUGGUUCACUUCUCUCUUGUCAACACUGCUUCACUAGUGUGUAUUUUGUUGUGAUAUUAUUUUUUUAAUAAUCCAGAUGCUUAUGUUCUUUGGUGAUCCAACUGAUGAGAUCUCCAUGGUUAUGGACAACACUUGAUAAGAGUAUUCAAACUCAAUCAUGUUCUUUUGAUGGCCCUGUACUUCUCGUGUUCUCGCUACUUACCUUCUCUGAUUUCGUUUGGAGAUUUUAUAGUAUGGUUUGGGUGUGCAUCCCUCUGUGGACCAUGUUUCUUGCCAUUUUGGUGCUUGCACUGCAAUCUGUUUAUUGGAUAUCACCAGGCAUCAAGAACAGGGCACUUUGCAAUAUUAUCUUGUUUGGCAUCUCUAGUGUUCUCUCCUGCAUGGUAUUUUCCACUUACCUGUUACGUUCUUUUUGUGCAUGCAAUGGUUGGGUCUUCCAGAGCAUGAACUUCAACUCAGAUUUCUUCCGAAUCAGCAGGUCCCUUUUUCUUUGUCAAAACCUACGGUUGUGUAAAAGUUCUCAAGAAUCAUAAUAUUUUUCACUAGUGUGUGUUGUACUCUGCUGCCAUGAAGUUUUUAGUCUAGAUGCUUUUUCUUGGACUUAUCCAAAUGAUGAUGAGAUCCCUGAUUGUUAUGGACACCUGAGAAGUACCCAAGCUCAAUUUUAUAUCUUCUUAUGGCCCGAUGAGCUCCUUCUACUUCGGUGUUCAUGCUACUUAUCUUCUCUGUUUCUAUUUUCUUAUGCUUAUCCCGCUACUUGAUUUGGUUUGUUUGGAUGCAUGUUUGUAGACCACAUGGUAACCAUGAGGGGAUCAGAUUUGGUAAUUUCAAAGUUUGGUCUCAGUGUGUGUCCUUCCCUUGUGCACCUUGUUUCUGUGCCAUUUUGGUGCUUGCACGGCAAUUUGGAUAUCACCAGGCACUGGCAAGGGAGUUACACAAUCUUGUCUGGCACCUCUAGUGAUCUCUCCUAUGUUGCAUGGGUUUCGCAGCUUCAACUCUAUCUGUUCCCUUCUUUUUGUGCUUGCUGCUGUUGGGUCUUUCAAGAUCAGUGAAGUCUUCCUUUCAUGGAGCAGCCUUGUUUGUCUAAGCGUUGAAGUUUUCCUUAGUUCAGGCUUUGUAUUAGUACCUAGCUCUUUGAUUAAAUUUUCUUCCCUAGUCAUAGAGAUCCCCUUAUCUCGUUGGCGGAAGUGCUGUUAAGCGGAAGUUUUCAAUCAUGAUAACUCUCUCCACAAGUGCAUUUUCAGCUUUUAGUCCAGUUGCUUUUGUUUUGCGAUGAUCCAACUGAUGAGUUAUCUUAUGGUGUGGAUCUCUGGUAAGUACUCGCUCAGUUCUGGAUUUUCCAUCAUCUACCUUUUGUGUUCUUGCUGCUUAUCUUCUCUGCUUCCAUUUUCUUUUUGCUCAUCACACCAGUUUGAGUUUUUUCUGUUGGAAGGAUGUAUAUACCACAUAGUGUAUGUGUAUUGGAGGAGUAGAUUUGGAAAUUUAAAAGCUUAGUGUUCAGUAAGCUGGUCGUUUAGGUGCUUGCACUGCAAUCUGGAUAUCGUUAGGGCUUUGAGGGAAAGGGGGUUUCUAAAUCUUUGCAUUUAACUGUUCUUUCUGUGCUUGUAGCUGUGUUCUUAAAGAUCUAAUCUCUCCUUUUUGUGGAGCAGCCUUUGUUGAUUUAUGUUGAGGUUUCGUUUGGUUCAAGCACCUGUAAGUGUUCGGUUUUCAGUUUGGUUCUCUUCUCUAAUCAGUAUUUUAUCUUUUCUCACCACACUCUUUUCAAAGUGGUGAUCUUCUAGUAAUUCGUUAAAAUUAAAAUUUUACAUGUUAGUGGGUUACAGUACAUGAUCAUUUUCAUUCAAUUUCUGGUUCAUUUAUUGGGUGCAGCAUCUGCACCAUAGUCACUACUAUUGUCAGACUAAUUAUUGUUAGGUAAGUGAAGCCUCUUUUUUUUUUUUUGAAGAUCUCUCCCCUAUCUUUUUUUUUUGGAACAUGUGCAUUAUAUUCAGACAUUCAAUCAUUUGACGAGUUGCUUCUGAGUGUUAGCUAUUAUGUAAAACUUUAAUAUAAACUUGGAGCUCCUGCACACCUUUUUUCUCCAUUAAGCAUUGCCAUUUGAACAGUCUUUGCACCAAAGAGGGCAAUUCAUUGAAUCUAGAACAGAUCAAGUAAAAAAACAUGGCUCAUCUUUUGUGUGACAGGUCAUGUACAGUCUUUAUGUAUUUAUAUCACAAAAGUAACUAUUGUUUUCUGUGUAGAAGAUCUUCUCAUGAGAUACCCUUGUAAGUCCAUUACAUAUCAGAUCAUUGUGCAAGUUGGGAAUUUUUUUCUAUGAAUUUUGUUCUUCUAAAUACUCCUCUGAGAUGAGCUUUGUACUAUUUUCUUGAUAUCGUUGAAAUUGCCAUUGAUUAUAGGUAACUGUUGUUCUGUCAUUCUCCGUGUUCUUGAUGUAUGUUUAGUCAAAUGUCACUUCACUGAUUGCAUGUUUCCUAAAAUGUCACUUAACCGAUAAUUUGUUCAGCCAAUGUCACUUCACAAAUCUGUCACUGAUGGUUUCUUUACUUCGUUCUCGUCAUGUUCUAUUACCAGCUAUAAUUCAUUUCUUAUUUCAGAAAUUGUUCCUUGCUCCUUGGAUUUCUUAUAUUGGUGAGUGAUUAGUUGCACAAGUUAAAAGGGGGUCUUCUAAGAAGCCCCACCCAGACCAAGUUUAGACAGUUUUGAAAAGUGCUGCUGUCUUGGCCUUCAUUCAUCAAGUGCAGCUCUCCAUUCAAUCAUUUACGGAGUUGCUUCAGACUGUUAGCCAUUGUGUAAAACCGCACACUGUUUUUGCCAUAAAACAUUGCCAUUUGAACAGUCAAAUAUUGAAUCUAGAGCAGAUCAAGUAAAAAACAUGGCUCAUCUUUUGUGUAACAAGUCAUGUACACUCUUUUAUGUUAUUUAUAUCAACGCAACUAGUUUUGUGUUACCAGAGACGGUUGAUGAUUUUUGGAUAUUUACAGAAUUUGGUAGGUCGGGAUUUGUUGGUGCAGUUGUAUCCGUAAGUUUUCUGAUUUUGCUAUGUAGGUAUGGAGUAUGAGCAGAUCUGUGAGUUGCAGAAAAGAGUGUCUGCAGAAUGCUUGGCCUCCUGUGCUGUGGAAGUGAGACCUGAAGGAUGAGCUUAUGGCGCAGGGAAUCUCUUUCUGGGUUUUGCAAUUUUAUUUUGAAGUUUGAAUUUGCUGUGGAUUCUCACUUUUGUUUGUUUCUCGAGGCAACCAAGGACUUCCUGUUUAGGUUAUGCCAAUCUCUUUCUGGUUCUACCCGAGGCAAUGCUGUAAACCUCAUCUCUGGUACCUGCAGCAGAUCAUCUUUUCUUGAAUCUUCUCCUCGGGAACACUAUUCUGUAGAAGUUUCUGAGCCUUCCCUAGUAUAUGUUGCUCUCUAUAUUCCAUGUUGUUAGGGGAUUGGCUCAUUUACCUCCCAAGUCUUCUGGUUUUCCUUAUCUACCCAUAAGCUUUAAAUGGAGUACAGGUGCUAGAGUAGUGGAAUUUUAAUGUGUUAUCUACCAUAAACACAAGUAUUAGUUGGCAGUGAUAUCGUGUUAUCCAACCAAUUAGUUAGGUAGGUUCAUGCAGCUAGCAUGAGAAGGGAUGAGAUUAAGGAGUUUCUGAAAAGCGAUCAGUUAUAGUCUUUUACAAUGGUUUUGAUAAUGUUAGACUCCUGUUUUUUACAUUUUUGUUGUAUUUGCUCAUUUGGAUCUCUUACCUAUAAAACAGCACUACAGAUGUGAGUGUACAUUUUUUGAAGUUGAGGAAGGUAUUAGCAUCUUGAAGUAGCUAGGAUAGUUUGGCUUCUGUUUGUCAUGGUAUUUCUUUUCUAAAUAUGGCCAUUGAAUGGGGUAUUUCUGUUUUCUUUGAGCUCCAGUUCGAAUUUGCGAGAUAAUUUGAGGGGGGUAUUUCUCUUUUUUAAGCUCCAGUUGUUCAAUUUCCAGAUAACUCUGAAUGGGGUAUUUCUGUUCUUCUAAGCUCCAGUUGUCUAAAUUUGCCAGCCAAGAGUUAUCAGCCUCAAGAUGUUGCGUUGGAGUAACUGUUGGUCCAGCUUUGUUCCUCUUUUCCCUCAAGCACUUGUAGCUACUUUGAUAGCAUUAGAAUUAAAAGGGAAUAUAUUUUUCUGCUAAAAUACACGGAUUCAGUUCCAUAUAAGUGGAUUUGAUCUCCAAAAGUGGUGAGAAGUUGGGAGGAUUGUAAAUCGGUUGUUGUGGAGCAUGUUAAACAGAAAAGGACCUGGUAUGCUGUGGAGCAUGUUAAACAGAUAACGUCCUGGAUGAGUGUUCUAUUAGAGCGGCAGUGUCGGUGAUGGAGUUUGAACUAUGAGUAAGAAUUGGAUGUUUUCAGAAUAAUUGUCUCCUCUCACUGUCUCACAUGUAUGAAAUGCAGUUACUGAAUAUAAGUGGUAUAUAGGUACUAUUCUAAAAAGUAUAGGUGUGAAGUAGCUUUCUGUUUUGGGUUGUUAUGAUGAGUUGGGAAUCUCUUUAUUUGGCUCAUCUCACAUGCUUAUUUGGUCUCUUUUGAUUUGGAAGUAGUAUCUUGGAUUUAGUAAAGCUUGAGUUCAGGGAAAACAAGGAGAUACUUUUUCUCAAAACAUGGACUAAUGAAAGUUUAACUCUGAAGAAGCACUUGAUGAAGCAUCCCGAAAUUUUGAUGAAGCACUUGAUUCCAUGUGUGUAGUGAUGGAGCUGGUGCAAAAACUGAUUUCAGGGUACAUAUUGCUCUCUAUGUGCAGAUACUUUGUAGUUCCAGAACUGGAGAAUCUGCUUUCUGGAUAUUAUAUAUAUUUUUUGUUGUUGAAGGUGCUAUGAAAUUGUGGAUGUCACGAAUGCAACUUCUUCAUGGUAUGAGAUGUAUGUUGAGUUCUAAGAUAGAAGUGAUUUUGACGUAGUGGUCCAGUGUUUCUUUCAUUGCACAAUUACCCUUGGGCAAUCUCAUAAAAAGACUAGGACCUGUUGGAGCCAUGACAUUUUUAUUUUUCAUCUGAUAUGCAUCUAUGAAGUAAUAUCUUGUCAUUCGAAGUCAUGUUUUGCACUUGCCAGGGCCGAUAGUUGUCUUUGACAUUUUUACUUUUUAGCAGCGAUGCAUCUCUCAAGUAGUAUCUUGUCAUUUGAAGUCAUGUCUUGCUCUUCAGGGCCCAAAAGUUGUCUAUCAUGUGACAUCAUAUGUGGGAGAAUUUCAUUAUUUGUCCAAAUUAAUUUGUGAGAAUGCUCCAUAGUAUUCUAACAUAGAGUCUUUUCUUCAAUGAGGUUUGCAAAAAUAUACCAGCACUAUGAGUCUGUUCGGUUCUCCAAUUUUAAGUUGUGAGAAUUUUACAAGAUAAUGGAAUACAGUACUUUUCUAGCACCACGACUUAAAGAAUUUUGAUGACUUGUAAUUUUCUCUCUCACUUCUUUCGUAGAAGGGCAGUGCCAAGUCUACUUAACUGCCGAGUCUUUUUGUACAGCAACAACAACAACAGGCCCAGCGCAAUUCCAAAAGUGAUCGCAUAAGUGGGGUCUGGGAGGGAAGGACGUAAGAAGACCUUACCUCUUAACUUUGAGGGACAGAAAGGCUUCUCUGGUAGACCUUGGAGGUGACCCUCGUAACUCCGCCUGUUAAAUCAGCCGGUCCCAAGCCCGGACUAAGGAGGAGGGGAAGGUGUUCAAGUUUGCAAUUAAUUGUCUGUUUUUUUUAAUUAGUAGAAAUGUUUCUGGAGUCGCCUAUGAGCAAUUAUGGCAUCUCUAAUUACAAUUAUCACUUAUUAGUAAUGUACAUCGGAUGAAAUGUAAAGAGAUGCAUUAGGGACUUGUCAUGCAAUUGGUAAUUACAAAUUGUGGCAACUAAAUGCAUUGCAAUCUUGCAGCUGUUGCAAUUUACUUAUGAUUUGCCUUAACACCGGAAUUAUUGUUUCCCUUA